rnacentral:rRNA from 1 species
AUUGAACGCUGGCGGCAUGCCUUACACAUGCAAGUCGAACGGCAGCACGGGUGCUUGCACCUGGUGGCGAGUGGCGAACGGGUGAGUAAUACAUCGGAACGUACCUUAUCGUGGGGGAUAACGCAGCGAAAGCUGUGCUAAUACCGCAUACGCCCUGAGGGGGAAAGCGGGGGAUCGCAAGACCUCGCGCGAUUAGAGCGGCCGAUGCCUGAUUAGCUUGUUGGUUGGGUAAAAGCCCACCAAGGCGACGAUCAGUAGCUGGUCUGAGAGGACGAUCAGCCACACUGGGACUGAGACACGGCCCAGACUCCUGCGGGAGGCAGCAGUGGGGAAUUUUGGACAAUGGGGGCAACCCUGAUCCAGCAAUGCCGCGUGAGUGAAGAAGGCCUUCGGGUUGUAAAGCUCUUUUGUCAGGGAAGAAACACCGGCUCUAACACAGUCCGGGAAUGACGGUACCUGAAGAAUAAGCACCGGCUAACUACGUGCCAGCCGCCGCAGUAA